rnacentral:rRNA from 1 species
AGCAGCCGCGGUAAUUCCAGCUCCAAUAGCGUAUAUUAAAGUUGUUGCAGUUAAAAAGCUCGUAGUUGAAUUUCGGGAUCAAUGCGUCGGUCGUGCCUUCGGUACGUACUAGCGUCAUUGAUUCCUCCCUUCUGAAGAACCGUGAUGUCAUUAAUUUGGUGUUACGGGGAAUCAGGACUGUUACCUUGAAAAAUUAGAGUGUUUAAAGCAGGCUAACGCUUGAAUACAUUAGCAUGGAAUAAUGAAAUAGGACGUUCGAACCUAUUUUGUUGGUUUCUAGGAUCGACGUAAUGAUUAAUAGGGAUAGUUGGGGGCAUUAGUAUUCAAUUGUCAGAGGUGAAAUUCUUGGAUUUAUUGAAGACUGACUACUGCGAAAGCAUUUGCCAAGGAUGUUUUCAUUAAUCAAGAACGAAAGUUAGGGGAUCGAAGACGAUCAGAUACCGUCGUAGUCUUAACCAUAAACUAUGCCGACU